rnacentral:rRNA from 1 species
UGGGGAAUCUUGCACAAUGGGCGAAAGCCUGAUGCAGCCAUGCCGCGUGAGUGAUGAAGGCCUUAGGGUUGUAAAGCUCUUUCACCCGUGAAGAUAAUGACGGUAGCGGGAGAAGAAGCCCCGGCUAACUCCGUGCCAGCAGCCGCGGUAAUACGGAGGGGGCUAGCGUUGUUCGGAUUUACUGGGCGUAAAGGGCGCGUAGGCGGGGUAUCAAGUUAGGGGUGAAAGCCCGGGGCUCAACCUCGGAACUGCCUUUAAAACUGAUACUCUAGAGUCCGGAAGAGGGUCGCGGAAUUCCCAGUGUAGAGGUGAAAUUCGUAGAUAUUGGGAAGAACACCGGUGGCGAAGGCGGCGACCUGGUCCGGUACUGACGCUGAGGCGCGAAAGCGUGGGGAGCAAACAGGAUUAGAUACCCCUGUAGUCC